ensembl:lncRNA
CACUGAUUGGACAGGAGUGCAGCCCACUGAUUGGACAGGGAGUGACGACACACGAGAGCGACUCCAGCACGAAAACAAAACCGGCAUUUAAAAAAAAACUAAACAGCGACGUUGCGCAUUGCUCUUCACAGACCUCUCUGUCUUCAUAAUUUUAAUGUGACAGCCAGACCUGUACCGUGGGUGAAUGAAGAGGUCGAGACUUUGUCUUUGGUGGCGGACCAAAGAAUACAGAGAGAGCUGGACGGAGAAAGUUUAUCAGGAGGUCUCUGAGCGGAUGGCUGCUCACAUAUACAGUAGACUGUAUAUAAAGAGGACAGAAGCAGUGUAGGGAGAAGCUGAAAAAGCUCAAAAGUGACUAUCGGUCCACCCAGGACCACAGCGGCCGGCGUGGGUCAACCAUGAGGUGUUGGAAGAGGUUUAAUGGAAGCUAUUUACUGGCACCGCACCGACGAGCAACAGGAGGGAGACUCAGCUGCUGCAUUAUUGGAGACGUUCGAGGACGAAUCCCUUUCGACGUGCGAAACCUGCUCCACCUCCGUCAUGGAGUCCCCAGCUCCCCUGCCUCCUCUCCACCACCAGCAGCGGCUCCUCUCCAGCACCAGUACCAGCUCGGACACCGACACUGUCAGCAUCAACCUCCAGCACGUAACAGCAACGUCUUAUUACCGGUAAGACACGGUAAACAGAGACCAUGGUUGAUUUUCGCAUUAUUAUUAUUACUACAGGUGUAAAUGCCUGCAAGCAUGAUCAGAACAGUGAGACCAACGACCAAGAAUUCAGGCAGGUGUAAAUGCAAACUGUGCAGCAGCCAGCUCAGGAACGCCUGAUGAAAGCUACAUGUAGCUACAGAGACACAUAAACAGAACACAUGCAGCUGCAUUUUUUUUCCAUUUACUUAACAAGCAAGUCACUCUAAUUAAUUUACUUUCUUGUGCACUGUAGUAUUGCAACCAUUUUUCUUAUAGUCACUAGGUAACUGUGAAACUGAAUGAAAAUGUACAUAGAAAUAAGAAAACACAGCUGUUCUUAGCAACUCCAAAAUGUGCACAAGAUGAAAUGAAGUUUCGCACCAUGUUGUUUUUAGUUGUGGUGGAGGAGGUACUAUUUGUGCUUCGGUUAAAGUAAAGAGUGCCAGAAAUUUAUUAAAGUAAAACAAUCAAAGACAUGAUCAUGAUUGAAAAUCAAUGGACGGGUGGCUAAACACAUCACAUCAUAGCUGUGGAGUCCUUCAAGCUCCUGGGGACUACAAUCUCUCAGGACCUGCAGUGGGAGACAAACAUCCACUCCAUCCUGAAAAAGGCUCAGCAGAGGAUGUAUUUCCUACGACAGCUGAGGAGACAUGGCCUGCCGCAGGAACCGUUGAUCCAGUUCUACGCUGCAGUCAGCCGAUCUGUCCUGUGCACCUCUGGAUCAGCCACACAGCAGGACAGAAACAGACUACAGCCCAUAGUACGGACUGCAGAAAACAUCAUCAGAGACCCCACUCACCCUGGACAUAAACUGUUCUCCCCUCUGGCAGGCGCUACAGAUCCCUGUACACAAAAACCACCAGACACAAAAACAGUUUCUUCCCCACUGCCAUCACUGUAAUAAACAGCUGAGCCGUUCCUACACACCUGUACAAUAGUCAGUAUUCCAAUGGACAUGUACAGUAUUUUUUUUCACCAUGAACAGCAUUCUCUGCUUUUUGCACUACUGUGUUUAUAGCAAUUAUCGUUUUGCUAAUGUGUUUAUUCCAGUCUCGCUCUACAUUUCUGUAUAUAUUGUUUUAAUUUUGCUACUAUUUCUUUUUCCUCCCUGUUCCUCUUUCUAUAGUUUCUUUAUUUUUUAUUAUUCUCUUCCAUAUUCCUAGUGUGACACCAACAGCCGAAACCAAAUUCCUUGUAUGUUGUGUACUUACUUGGCCAUUAAAGGUGAUUCUGAUC